UACGUAGGAGGCAAGCGUUGUCCGGAAUUACUGGGCGUAAAGCGCGUGUAGGUGGUGGGACAAGUCUGCUGUGAAAGCGCCUGGCUUAACCGGGCGAGGUCGGCGGAAACUGUCCGACUCGAGGACGGUAGAGGGGGGUGGAAUUCCCGGUGUAGUGGUGAAAUGCGUAGAGAUCGGGAGGAACACCUGUGGCGAAGGCGGCCCCCUGGGCCGGCCCUGACACUGAGACGCGAAGGCAUGGGGAGCGAACGGG
rnacentral:rRNA from 1 species